rnacentral:rRNA from 1 species
GACGAACGCUGGCGGCGUGCCUAAUACAUGCAAGUCGAGCGCAGGAAACUGACGGAACUCUUCGGAGGGAAGGCAGUGGAAUGAGCGGCGGACGGGUGAGUAAUACGUAAGGAACCUGCCUCAAGGAUUGGGAUAACUCCGAGAAAUCGGAGCUAAUACCGGAUAGUUCAUCGGACCGCAUGGUCCGCUGAUGAAAGGCGCUCCGGCGUCACCUUGAGAUGGCCUUGCGGUGCAUUAGCUAGUUGGUGGGGUAGCGGCCCACCAAGGCGACGAUGCAUAGCCGACCUGAGAGGGUGAUCGGCCACACUGGGACUGAGACACGGCCCAGACUCCUACGGGAGGCGGCAGUAGGGAAUCUUCCACAAUGGACGAAAGUCUGAUGGAGCAACGCCGCGUGAGUGAUGAAGGUUUUCGGAUCGUAAAACUCUGUUGUAAGGGAAGAACACGUACGAGAGGGAAUGCUCGUACCUUGACGGUACCUUACGAGAAAGCCACGGCUAACUACGUGCCAGCCGCCGCAGUAA